UUUUCUUCCAUGCAGAUGACCAGUUGCACAAGAAUCUGGCGUCGAAACAACUCUACAAAGACUUGGGAAUCGCUAUUUUGGCCACGGAUCGACCUCACUACCUUUACAGGACCCUCAAAUCCCUGUGG